rnacentral:lncRNA from 1 species
GUCCAGGUUUCCUCUCCUGUAGUAAAGAUGUCAGUGUCAGGCCCUGCACGCUCUCCUUGCUGUGCACUGUACUUGUGACAUUGGCUCAUUUUAAGCGACCAAGGCUCUGUAUAUGUAUAUCUGAACAUAUCGUUUUUUGAAGUUUAUUCAUGUGUGUCAUUGACUGAUUUUCUAUCGUUUUGAAGGCCGUUUAAUUAAUAGGGACAUUUUGGCAUUUUCUCUACCAGCGGCUUCCAAGCUGGGUGUCACCUGGCUCUGGCUCUGCUGGGCUUCACCUGGUUCUGCUGGGCUUCACCUGGCACGGGCUGGUUGGGCAUCACCCAGCUCUGGCCCUGCUGGGGUUCACCUGGCAUGGGCUGGUUUGGCAGCAAGCCCAGCAGCUGCCUUCACACCGUCAAGUUCAAAGUGCCCACUAGGGAGCCCUUUCACUUUUUACCCCAGUUAGUCAUUCACCAAGAUCAUGAAAAAAUGCUUAAGUGGAAUAAGCAAAAUGUCAGCAAUUGAUUUCCAAGUGGCUCUUGUCUUUCUUCUUUCUUCAGCUCAUUUAACUUGAGCAUUAUCAAGCAUUACAUGUGGGUAGACAUCCUCUUGGUCAACUGUACCCAGCAUCUCCAUAGGGAGCCCUCUGCAGCCUGCCAUGCUUUAGAUAUCCCAGCACCAUGACUAACUUAGUGCUUAAAUGGAUUCUCUGAGUGGUGCAGGGUCUCGCACAGCCAGCCUAAUGCAUUACUAUUGUUGUUACCAUCUCAUACAGAAUGGUAGCAAUAACAAAUGCCCUGAAAGACUGCAGAGCCCAACAAGUGCAAAUACAUUUCUAUAAAUAGCCUGUGCCCUGACUGAAUUUGGGCUUUUUACUCUUGGACGGAUCAAUAAGGCCUUUUAUGAACUAAAGGAGUGACUAGAGGUGAACAAGCCGGCCAUAUAGAGCACUCAGCAAUACCGGCUGGGGGACUCAAAGCAUGUGCGAAAGAAAUUUCAAGGAAAUAAGAAAUAUCAAGAGGUUGGGCAACACAGCAGGCUUCUCACUAAUUUUUGAGUUUUUAAUCUCUAAAACUUUCUGUGCAAAUCAGGCUCGUGCCAGGUGGGACCUGAUGGUCGGUGGUCUCUUUUCCAACAGGUAUAGACACACCACAUUUUGCUGGUUCCAGUGUAGGUUCCUCCAAUGGGUGCUUGGUCUAUGGGCAUUGUGGACUUCUCAACGAGAGAACUGCUGGGUGGCUCAGACAACGUACGUUUCAGAGGACAGGGUCCGCAGGCCUCACCCACCACACCAAGACAUGGUUCCAGUUGCAGGGAAGAGAGUGAUACUACGAAUGUUAAAAUAG